rnacentral:tRNA from 1 species
GACUCUUUGGUGCAGUAGGUAGCGUGUCAGUCUUGCAAGCUGAAGGUCCCAAGGCUGAUACUCAGAAGGAAGGUGUGAUAUGCUGGGAGAGGCUUCUGCAGAUUAGAAGAGUCA